AUAAUGUGGAUGUUAAGGAGAGAAAAUGUGAAAUGCCUUUUUAAAUCCAUUUUAAUAUGUCUUAAGGACUGGAUGAUGGAUGGGCUAAGAGCCUGCGGCUGACACGGAGCUGGGAGGCUGCCUGGGCGAGUAGCUCUAGUGACUUCGGCACCCGCAUGCCCGCAGGGCCUGUGCUCUGGCUACCUCUGGGCUAGGGUGGCCUGAGGUAGCGAAGCAGGGAGACGGCCCUUUUCACAGUCCUGCUGCUCUUGGCACCUAGUUCUGACUGUGUGGGGCUGUGCCACACAGAACUUGAAACGAGAAGCCAGUGGCACAUGGAAGCAAGUGAAAGGCUGUAUCCUGAAGCGGAAGGGUCAGGGCAGACGACGUGAGCAGCAGAGGCGUCUCCGCAGUGAAGCCUGCGCUGAAGCUCCACGCCAAAGCCGCUGAGCAUCCUGGGGACCAGUUCCUUGGCUGUUUCUUCCUUGGGCUUUAUCACUGAAGGGACUGCUUGGUGUCAUUGUGGAAGAUUUCAUCGGUCCUAUCACAAUGCAGAGGACACCACAAAGGGACCCUACCAACACUAAGGCUCAUCAAAGCUAAACAGGACAAAGCUAAAGGCAAAGGUUUUCAAAAUCGCCAGAGUGAGAGAAAACAAGGCUAGGUUAGCAACUGGCAGACCCAGCAGCAAGUGGGUAUCUGAAGAUAAUUGAAUAGGAUCCGGAGGGAUGGCUCACUGCGCAAGGCCACCUGCAACUCCGGCUCCACGGGAUCUGAUGCCCUCUUCUGGCCUCCACAGAUGCCUGCACAAACAGAACUAUAGAGUAAAUGCCAUUGGAAAUACCUUGGAGGCAAAGCCGACUGCUGGAUGACAGCGAAUGGAGCCUGAUCUCAGGCUGAGGGGAAAAAGUGUGGAAACCAUGAAGAACACCCAACUGACUGUAAAAGAGACCAAGUAAGUAUCCUUUAAGCUACACUAGUCAUGUUAUGUGGGAUCAAAAGGAGAGACAGACUUUGGAAUCAGAAAAUGCCAAACAUAAAUGAGGGAUCAACAUGGAUAUGAAAUGUUUUUGGUCUCUUACACAGUCCAGAAAGAAAGUAAAGAUAUUUAUUGACAGCUGCUUACCAGCCCAGAAUACAUGAGUUAGUUGUAAUUUAUAGGUCAGCUAUCAAAAGAGAAAAAUCUUAGAAUAUAGCUUAUUUAAAAAACGUAUUUAUUUUUAUUUCAUGUGCAUUGGUGUUUUACCUGCUUGUAUGUCUGUGUGAGGAUGUUGGAUCCUCUGGAACUGGAGCUAUAAACAGGUGUAAGCUGCCAUUGGGGAUGCUGGGAAUUGAACCUUGGUUUUCUAGAAAAGCAGCCGGUGUUCUUAACCACCAAACCAUUUCUCCAGCCUAGAAUAUAGCUUUUAAAUAUUUGGAAAAGUAAUGUUUUGUUGUUUUUGUUUGUUGUUUUUGAUAAGGAGUCAUACUGUGUAGCCCAGAAUGGCUUCAAACUUCAGAUCCUUCUACCUCAGCCUUCAAGCGCUGGGAUUGCGGGUGUGUGCCACACAUCUAGCCUGAUGAAACAAUUUUGAAGAGUCAAAGAUAUUGUAUUAAAUAUUUAUUUUACUUUUAUUGAUGUAUGUAUAUGUACAAGUAUUUUCAGUCUGUUCCUGAUUGAAUGAGUGGAUAUGGAAAUGCAGAAAUGAAGGACUGACUAUAUUUGUGUGCUUUAUCCCACAGUUGAUAAAUAUAAGGCAGCAUGUUCCAGAGGCCAUUUCAUAAUGUGGA